rnacentral:lncRNA from 1 species
UGUUGCUUAUGUGUUAUGUUAUGUGCUGUUUUCCAGAACGUUAAGAUGCGAGGAACUCGUCGAUCCGCGAGAUUGACUGGAGUCCCACCUGUCAGUGAGGGAACAGCUGCUCGUCCUCCUGCAUUGCCAAGGGCAAGAUCUCAUAGGUCAAGCAGGGAGGGAACGUCAAGAGACCCUAGAAGGUCUUCUGACGAGAGCAGAAGAGGCGUAGGCAGAGGGGAAAGAGCAGAAGAAGAGAGAGUGGCUAGGGAGGAGGCUUAGAGUAGAGAUGAAAGUAUGGGUAUCGGACGGUCAGAAGAAGGUAUGGG